AGGAGAAGGGGUUAGAAUUCUAAAGAGAAGGUUUGAAGGUUUUAGAGAGAUGGAGGAGAAUUGAGUUUGCUGAAGGUUGAAGAUGAAAAGGUGCAUGCAUAGAAAAAGGCCUCAACUUUAAAAUCCUGCUUUAAAUGCUGCCUCCCAAAAACCGAAAGAUCGCAUCCUACGCUGCCACCUGUUUUUCACUCUUUGAGUCCUGCACUCCAUGUACUGCCACGUGGAAUCCACUAUCUGCACAUUCCCCACCUUCCCUGUUGCUGCCAUACGAUUCUCGAAGGAGGGGAUUUUAAUGAAGAAGGACAUCUUGUCUCCCACUACCAUGGGAAAUCUGGAAGGGUGUCACACUUGUCCUCCACUCAAAAAGGGAAAAAUUAAUGGAGUGUGACAGUAGAAAUCUAUAUUAUUAUUAGGAAUUGUCGAUAACUAUUCAUUUAAAAACUCAUAAUAUUUGGAGUUUAUACGAAAGGAUUUAUUGACACUACUACAAAUUCAAGAAAGAGUAUACUAUUACCUUUUAAAAAAAUUGAAAAAGAAACCCACAUUUUUAAAAGUAAUUAUUGUAGAAUAAAAUCAAAUUAAAAUAUAUUUUAACUCUAAUUGAUCCCUAAUUAAAAAUUUUCUUUUAAUUUAUGUUGGAUUAUUGAUCACAAAUCUUAAAAAAAUAUUACGUUAAUUGUAUGUUAAUUCCUCUUUCCUCCUUCUACUAUUUUUAUGUUUUUGUCUUCUUCUUCCUCUCUUUCUUACUCUCCUCUUUAUUUUCUUCAUCCCCUUCCUAUUCCUUCUCCUCUUCCUCUCUCCCUUCCUCUUAUUUCAACUCUAACCGCCAUAGUUGUUGCGGCCAGCACCGUUGCUUCAUUGCUAUAUUAUUUGCUUGCUAACAUUAUAACUCUACCACUGCCACUACCAUUGGCUUUGACUCUUCCUUUCCUCUUUUCCUUCUCUUUUUCUUCUUCUCCUUUUAGACUUGAUGAAAAGUAUCGAAGGAUUUUAU
rnacentral:lncRNA from 1 species